UAGAGGAUCAAAAGGGAGCCCAAGGGUAUGGUCUCAUCUCUCUCCCAACUCACUCUUUCCCUCCUGAUCCUUAGUUUUCUGACUUAAACAUCGAAGAGUCCCUAUUGGAGCCAACUUCGAUCAAAGACUUAUUUUGCAAAUCAAGCUAUUGCAGUACAGUGCUAGCCACAUCUCUUCUCCAAUCGAGCUGACCUCAGUCAAAAGACCAGUGGCAAUAGAUUAGCACUAGAGGAAGGACCCC
rnacentral:lncRNA from 1 species